CAGCCGCCGCGGUAAUACGUAGGGUGCGAGCGUUAAUCGGAUUUACUGGGCGUAAAGCGUGCGCAGGCGGCCCGUUAAGACAGGUGUGAAAUCCCUGGGCUCAACCUAGGAAUUGCGCUUGUGACUGGCGGGCUCGAGUACGGUAGAGGGGGGUGGAAUUCCUGGUGUAGCAGUGAAAUGCGUAGAGAUCAGGAGGAACACCGAUGGCGAAGGCGGCCCCCUGGGCCUGUACUGACGCUCAUGCACGAAAGCGUGGGGAGCAAACAGGAUUAGAUACCCUGGUAGUCCACGCCCUAAACGAUGGGUACUAGCCGUUUGGUGCGCGAUAGCGCUGAGUGGCGAAGCUAACGCGAGAAGUACCCCGCCUGGGGAGUACGGCCGCAAGGUUGAAACUUAAAGGAAUUGGCGGG
rnacentral:rRNA from 1 species